UCAAAUUUAAUAAACUUCAACGCAACUCCAUAAUAAUGAGUGUUAUUUCUAGACUUACCACUUGUAGACAAAUUGUUUCAAUCUGAACGUUUGUCAUAUGAACAUUAUGGAUCCAUUGUUUCGCUUCUGCUAUCUCAGGCGUUCCUUCAAAUCUUUUCACAUACGCCGUCACCAACCUUCCCUGAGCAUCACACACACACGCUCCAACACAAUAUACAUUCUGAUUCGCAUAGCA
rnacentral:lncRNA from 1 species